GAAGGGAUGCGAGGGGACGUGGGAGACUGAGAAGAGUCACGAGGACACGAGAAGGGGACGUGAGGGACCGAGAGGUGUCAUGAGGGACCGAGAGAGGCCCUGAAGGGCCCGGGGAUUUACAUCUCUCUCAAUUAUUGACGUUGUGGGGACAGGGCUCUGCUGCCAAAGCAUUUCACGUUUUUUUAUGGGUGUAACAGAGCCUGUGUUUCGUUUUGCUCUUCAGGAUAUCCUACGUGUCAUGUCUCUGGGUGACCGUGUGGGUGAGAGCAGACGAGUCCAGCUCAUGGAUAUUAGAUACACACAGCUAUUACUGUCAGCAGUGUCCUAUUUACAGAAUAAAAUACAUGUACUUUCCAUUGGCUGCUGUACAGACAUACUCUGAGCCAACCCCACUCAUGCUAGGUGAAUGAAGGCCGGAACCUUUUGGGGAAGAAAAGAAAGGCUUCUGAAACCAGAAAAA